rnacentral:lncRNA from 1 species
GGGCUACAGCUGAAGGUUAAAAUUCCCAUUUUCUUGAGUGGGCAGUGAUGGUAUACUUGUAGCAGAGAUAAGUGGUGGUGGUAUUCUAUGCACUUUAGAUGUUGCUCCUUCCCCCUGUCAUAUGACUGCUUUGCCUCUCUGGGAAGAGAAACCCCAGACACAAAUCAGUGUAAAUCACCAAGCUAGGAAUGCACUAAGUUAGAAAGAGAUUUCACAGGUGAAAAAUGUAACCUUAAUGAUAGUCCUUAAGCAUUAAGGGAUGAGCCCUUGAAGCUCCUUAAUGCUCCUGCUCUGUGUCAUUCUACUACCACACGUUCUUGCCUUACACAGGAAUCAACUCUUCUGAGCUGUGUUUAACACUGGAUAAUUUCCUUCUUCUUCAUUAUUGUGGUUGUCCAGGGUAUUGUUUCCAGACUGUGUGUUAUCUUUACAUUUACCCUAUCAGCAGCACUUUUGCUCCUGGCCAGUGAUAUUGGAAUGCUCAUAACAUCUAGCAGGAAUCAAGAGAAAUGCCAACAAAAGGCCAUUGUGUUAGCUUUUCCUGGUGGAAAAUGAGCUUUGUAUAAAGCUUCAUGUUGCAUUGUGCUAUUUCUGCCCUUCCACAACAUCAAAAGGUAAGGUUUGUAUCCAGGCUAAAAAC